ACCAAGCUCUUGGCUCCUCCCAGACAGCAGUGUCUCAGCUUUCUUCCUGGGUCUGGUCCUCUCUUCUCAGAUCCUGUUCCUGGCCUUCUCCUGCUUAUAGGCUCCAGCCAAGCCGCUGAAUCUGGCAACCCAGGCCCUGGCCAACCUUUCCUUCUUGUCCAGUCCCUCAGUGGCCGCCAAGUUCCCCAAAGCCAGCAGGCACAUGCAGGACGUGCCUGCUUGGAAACGGUGUCCUGCGUCCUCUCUCUUCCCCUUCAACUAUGUAAAAUCCCUUUUUCCGACUCUUCCUCUUCAGAGAUGGAGCCGAGCAGGACUAACCCUGCUGUGCAGAUGGAACAAAAGGCAGGGACCUGUUCCACGAUGCUUCCAAGCUCAGAUCACAUCGAGCUAAAGGGGAACCUGGGAGGUGGGUCUCCUGAGCCUCAGGCACAGGCUAAGACCUGUGGCCCUGUUGUCAGUUCCUUACAGAAUGUGACCCAUGUUCUCAGACCCACAGUCAGCUCCUGGAGGGCAGGGCCAGGUCCUGCUGAUUCCUGUAUCCCCACCGAGCAUGGCACUUGUUCACUCCCAUAGAAGAGGAAACAGCAGAAGUGAUGCUGGGCCAGGUCCUGGCUCAGACCCUGAGAGACUGCAGCUUCACUUCCUGUCAUUUGGAGCCUUGAGUGGCCAGGUGAGAAGGCUGACCACGUUGCUGCAGAUGAAGAGGGGCUCAGGUGAGCCCAGCCUCACAGCAGCCCCCACCGAGCUGUCAGGGGUGUGAGAAAAGCUGGUGGACCCUUCAGAUGAGCUUAGUUGAGUAUUUCCAAGUAACCUCAGUCAACGCUACAUGAAACCAAAGAAUUGCUUGAAUUCCUAACCCACGAAAUCACAAGAUAUAAUAAAAUGCUGUCUUAAAUCAACAACUUUGUAAUAGGUUAUUGGGACACAUGUCAACUCUGAUCUAUGGGAGGUGGCUGCCUGGGACGCUCCCUUGAGCAGGCAUCUGAAGCUGAGAUGGGUUUGUUUUGGUGAAGAAGGGUUCUGUGAUCUGUUAGUGAUGUCUGCCAUGAGCACAGGAGGGGAGAUGGGGAGUUAGCUGUGCUGCACAUU
rnacentral:lncRNA from 1 species